rnacentral:lncRNA from 1 species
GCUCAUUCCAAAGCCGAUCAAAGGUCCAUCCGGCGUUGUCCUUCAUCAUUUCAAUUUUUCUUCUGUAGCCGUGGAGUGGCUUUAGCCAGAACUCUCUCGCCAUUGCCGACCGAGGUCUCGACUCGUUUGAUAUACCAGGUAAGAUUCCCCUUUCCCGAACCCCCUUGUCUCGUCCCGGUUUUUGGCAAAAAAAAAGAACCGCCUGGGUUGAUUCAUGCUCUCGGCGAAAUCUUGUUAAAAAGGAGAAAUUUCAUGUCGAGCUAUAAUGCUUUGAAAGUUAAUGCAUCAUGUUUAUACCGAUAGAUGCUUCGGAUUUGAACCCAUAAUGCAAGUUCAUUAAUGAACACCAACUACUCGAUGUAUUGCUUAAAUGAAACCCAGAAUGUUUGAGAAGCCCGAACUCGAAUAGAGAAUUUCAAGUGAUUCGUGAUAGACUGAGAUGGGUUUAACAUGAAAAUGUGUUGAUUCCAGCCUUUAUGCAUCAUGUUUAGUCCGUAGGUUGCAAUAAAUUUCGCCCCAGAAUGCAUGCUUCAAAUCGCAUAUCAACCGUUUGAUAAAAUGCCUGAGAGAAUGCUGAAUAUUGAUUCAUCUUUGAAUCCCGAGAUCUGUUCGUGUUCGUUUCUGGGUUGGUUGAAUCUGCUCUGAUAUUCUUUUUUUCUCUUUGUCUGGCUAUGUGAUUCUAUGGGAACGAUCGAUCGCCGGCGAGCGAGCCAAGAGUCCCCCUUUGGCCGAAGCUCUCACUCCACAUCGGCGAAUCCCGCUGUCCAGGGCUAU